CUUUUCCCCCCAAAAGCUCUUCCCAAUGGCUUUUCCCAAUGGAUUUUCCCUGUUUGGUCUGUGCUUAAAUCAGUUAAAAUCUGAUUUUCAUCAGCUGGGAGCAGUUCCCUUUCUGCAGGAUACCAAACUUGACUUUUUGCUGUUACUGCAGCAGCUUUGGGUAGAAAUCCUUCACUCCUGGGUGUGACUAAAACCUUCAAAUUGUGAAUUUUUUUGUCCUGCCAGGGUCACUACCACUACUGCAAAGCCCUGGCCCUGCUGGGAGAGGCUGAGCACGCACUGGAGGCCAACAGGAAAGCGCAGGAGCUCUGCCAGAAAGACCCCCAGGGGCUCAAGGAGCUCCUCCAGCAGAAUGAAACACUCAAGAAGAGCCUGCAGGAAAUCCAUGGUACUAAGCAUAAACAGAAGGCGAAGGAGGCUCUGCUUGAGGCGAAAGUCUCUUCUUCAAAAUCUCCUUCAAGAACCUCCCAGAAACAGAAAGGAGGAGAGAAAGAGAGGAAGAAAACCCAGGCUGAGCCCAAACAUUCCCAGGGGCCUCAAAAACACAAUGCCAAGGUACAGCUGGAAUUGCUGGAAUUCCAUUGCCUGGAAUUCUGGAGUUCUUUCAGCAAUUGUGCAAUUUUCCUGGGAUAUUUCCUUCCAAACCCGCUGCAGAAAUUGGGAUUUUAAAGGAGGUGGGAGGAGGAGAUGGCCACUGUCAUGUUUUGUACUUUUAAUUUUUUAUUUGUAGCUUUUUCCAUUUUCAAUUAGCUAAUUAAUUUAAUUAAAGAGGCAUAAUAAGCUAAUUAAUGUAAUUAAUUUAAAGAGG
rnacentral:lncRNA from 1 species